GACGAACGCUGGCGGCGUGCUUAACACAUGCAAGUCGAACGGCAACGCCCUGCUUUUUUGGUGUUCUCGAGUGGCGAACGGGUGCGUAACACGUGAGUAACCUGCCCUUCACUUUGGUAUAACUUCACGUAACUGGGGCUAAUCCCGGAUAGCAUCUCCCCCUGCAUUGUGGGGGUUGGAUCUUUUCGGCGGGUGGGGAUGGACUCGCGGCUUAUCAGUUUGUUGGUGGGGUAGUUGCUUACCCAGGCUUUGAAGGGUAGCCGGCCUGAGAGGGUGACCGGCCACAUUGGGACUGAGAGACGGCCCAGACUCGUACGGGAGGCAGCAGUGGGGAAUAUUGCACAAUGGGCGGAAGCCUGAGGAAGAAGCGCCGCGGGCGGGAUGACGGCCUGCGGGUUGUAAAACGCAGUAGCCUGUGACGAAGCGGGAGUGACGGUAAUGGGUAAAGAAGCACCGGCUAACUACGUG
rnacentral:rRNA from 1 species